AGCCCAUUCCCCGCGCGGCCGCAGGAGCGCACGCGGGCGCCGCGCCGCCCAGCCCCGCCGAGAGGGGCGCACUCGCCGCCGCGGAGCCGCCGCCGCCGCUCACCGCAGCCCCCUCCCGGCGACCCGCAAAUGCCUAAGAACAUCUUUGCCUAAGAACACCUCGAGAAAGGAGUAGGGAGAAUCUACAAGAUGAAGGAAAUAAACAAGAACUGGUCUUCUCAACUGUGCGCGACUAAGUGCUUUGUGCAUCAUUCCAGUGGCAGCGCUAAAAUUCCCAGUGAUCUUGUCUACCUGGCCUACUGUCCCUAUUCUGAAAUCAAGAGAAGACUGCUCCACAAGACUCCUCCCGGCAUUGCUGCAAUGUCUGUAUCUAAUUUAUCAUGGUUGAAGAAAAAGUCCCAGUCGGUGGAUAUUACUGCUCCAGGGUUCAACCCUUUGGCCGGUGCAGGAAAGCAAAUGCCACAAGUCAGUAAGCCCCCUGCACCCAAGACACCCAUCAUUGAAGAAGAACAGAACACAGCCAACACAGCCAACACAGCCAAUACCCCGAAGCAUCCCUCCCGCAGGAGUGAGCUGAAGAGGUUCUACACGAUUGAUACUGGCCAAAAGAAGAGCCUAGACAAAAAAGAUGGGAGACGAAUGUCUUUUCAGAAACCUAAAGGGACUAUUGAGUAUACUGUUGAAUCAAGGGAUUCCUUGAAUAGUAUAGCCCUGAAAUUUGAUACAACACCAAACGAACUUGUUCAGUUAAAUAAGUUAUUCUCCCGAGCAGUUGUUACUGGACAGGUUUUAUAUGUUCCUGAUCCUGACUAUGUUUCCAGUGUGGAGAGCUCUCCAUCGCUAAGCCCGAUAAGUCCCCUGUCACCAACAUCGUCUGAGGCUGAAUUUGAUAAGGCCACUAAUCCUGAUGCAGUGUACCCGAAAGAAACAACUCCCUUGUCUACAUUUACUGGUAUUCGACCUGCACGAGUUGUAUCUUCAACUUCUGAAGAGGAAGAAGCAUUUACUGAGAAGUUUCUAAAAAUUAAUUGCAAAUAUGUUACCAGAGGCAAGGGCACAGUCAGUGGUGUGCUGCUAGUUACACCAAAUAAUAUAAUGUUUGAUCCACAUAAAUCUGACCCCUUGGUUCAAGAGAAUGGCUGUGAGGAAUAUGGGAUCAUGUGUCCAAUGGAAGAGGUGAUGUCAGCUGCAAUGUACAAAGAAAUUUUGGAUAGCAAAAUAAAGGAAUCCUUACCCAUAGAGAUAGGUCAGUUAUCAGGAAGGGACUUCUGCCACUUAAAGAAAAUGUCAAGAAGUGAUGCUGAUGAAAUAGACUCAAGAAUCCGUGAUGUGGUCAAUGAUAGUGCCAGCACUGCUCCCAGGUGCACCGAGGAGUCCCUUUUUGAAGACGUGUUCACAGAAUCAGAACUGUCUCUGGUACGGGAAGAGCUUGUCUCUUCAGAUGAGCUGCGACAAGGUAAAUCAUCCGGUGCAUCAUCAGAGUCUGUGCAGACUGUCAAUCAGAGUGGAAUAGAAUGUUCUACAAUCAUAUCAGAAUCUACUACUACUCUUGAUCAGUUAAAAUCUGAUUCUGGACAUUCUCCAAAUGAAGUUGGGGCUCUUUCCCUUAAAACUGAUUUAAAUCUCAAAAUGGCCACUAAGGAAGGAGAUCAGGCAACAGAUAAUGUUCAAGAAAUAUUAGACCCUAAAGAAGGAAGCAUAAAUAUUAAAGGUAAUGCAGACCAGGAUUUUCUUAAUGAGAAUUCACUGCACCAAGAAGAGGAUGAAAAAGAAAGUAUGCCUUGUGGGGAAGCAACAGAAUUCAAACUAAAGCAAACUGUCAAAGGAAAACAAGGGAAGGAACAAAAACAGGACUCAGAGACAGAGGUAGAAGAGCUCCGGAAACUCUGGAAAACGCAUACUAUGCAAGAGACUAAACAGCAAAGGGACAAUAUUCAACAGGUGUCACAAAAGGAAAUUAAGCAUAAAAUAGCAACUGUUGAUACAGAAGCUUUAGGUUCUUCAUUUUUAAAAGAAAAGAGAAGGCAUCAGUUACAUAAGUUCUUACGUCUCAGAGUUGGAAAACCAAUGAGGAAAACAUUUGUAUCCCAAGCAAGUGCAACAAUGCAACAGUAUGCACAGAGAGAUAAGAAACAUGAAUAUUGGUUUGCUGUGCCACAAGAAAGGUCAGACCACUUAUAUGCCUUCUUCAUUCAGUGGAGUCCAGAAAUAUAUGCAGAAGAUACUGGUGAAUAUACCAGAGAACCUGGAUUCAUAGUUGUAAAAAAGAUUGAAGAAUCUGAAACAAACGAGGAUUCAUCUAAUGAAGAAGCAGCCAGAGAAUGGGAGGUAGUGUCAGUGGCUGAGUAUCACCGCAGGAUCGAUGCUCUAAAUACUGAAGAACUGCGCACACUCUGCAGACGUCUCCAGAUUACUACAAGGGAAGACAUCAAUUCAGAGCAGGUUGCUCCAGUGAAGGCAGACCUGGAGUCUGAAUCCUUUAGACCAAACCUAAGUGAUCCCAGUGAACUCUUACAGCCAGAUCAAAUUGAAAAGCUUACCAAGCAUCUUCCACCAAGAACAAUUGGCUAUCCAUGGACUCUUGUUUAUGGUACCGGGAAGCAUGGCACAAGCUUGAAGACUCUUUAUCGAACAAUGAUAGGUUUAGACACCCCAGUGCUGAUGGUGAUUAAAGACAGUGAUGGACAGGUUUUCGGUGCAUUAGCAAGUGAGCCAUUUAAAGUGAGUGAUGGCUUCUAUGGUACUGGAGAAACCUUUGUUUUUACCUUCCGUCCAGAGUUUGAGGUCUUUAAGUGGACAGGUGAUAAUAUGUUUUUUAUCAAAGGAGACAUGGAUUCCCUAGCUUUUGGUGGUGGAGGGUCCUGCAAUUGACUGCAUUUCCGUUGGGCCUUGCAGUUGAGUUUCUCUGUAAAUCUAUUUGCCCUAAAGGAGAAAAAGUGUGAAGGAUCAACACACUGAUAUUUUACCACACAAGUGUUGCUCUCUCGUGUGCUUCCUGCACAAAUGCAUCAUAACACUAUCCCUGUUCAGCUGUCCAGACUAUUGGCUGCUUGAUCUCAUUAUCAAAGGAGAGCAAACACCUGUGCCCUUGGGACCAUGGCAAUCUAUGACAGGCAUAGCCUUUAAUAGCAAGCCCAGGGCCAUCCCUGCAGAACCCAAAAGUCAUACGUAGUUUAUUUGAGGCUGGGAAAUUCUCAGAAGAAAGUGAAAAGCAAAACAUUAUCCACUAACUCAUACUUUUUGUCUACUGAAGCACCAGCUAUAGUUCUGUCCUAUAGUAUAAUACACAACACAUCUUCCCUUUAAGGAGCUUCUGGGCACUUUGACAUUUUUUUUUCAUUGUUUAUUAAAGUAUUUAUGAUACCUACUGUGUGCCAGACACUGUUUUAGUUACGUAUUGGGUAUUCAAUAAUGAGAAUAAAAACAGCAAAUAAUCACUAAAAAGAUAUUCAUGAAAAUAAUCAGAGUACAAAUUUGAGUAUGUGGUAUGAUUUCAACUGUGUAAAAUGUGCAUGCACCAGGCUGAAGGAAUCAAUGGUAUAUGCACAAUUGGAAAUAAUUAUGUUGGUAUCCAGAUGAUAAUUUAUUUUUUUCAUCUUUAAAAAUAUAUUCAUCUAGGUAUUAUAUUGAUUUUAUAAUUUAGAGAAAGCAAAAAUUAAGAAAAAUCUCAGAUUAGCAUCCAGAGGUAAUUUGUUUCACCAUAUUUUAGCUGGGUAUCUGAUUCUUUGAAGUAGUUUUUUUUUUCUUCUAAUUUUAAUUAGGAACUUAGAUUUCCCUGAGUUUUGAAAUUCUAUGUCAUUUGGAAAAAAGAUUGGGGUUGGUGAGGUUAUAAAUCUAUGAAGAAGAAAAACAUUUAUCUUCUAAAAGAAGCACCUUUUAAAUAUUAAUGUGUAUUUGUCAUAUUGUCAAAUUGUAAUUCUCAAUAAUAGGAGGGAAGGAAAACAUAUGAAUUGGUUCUAUAAGCAAGACUUUAAAAAUAGAGCUAUAUACCUUAAUGGGUAUUAAAUUUUUCUCUAUCUCACAAAGGUUCUGUGUCCUUUUUGUCUUUCCAGUUUUUAAAAAGUCUUAAAAUAGCAGUUUUAAAUCAGGAUUAGAAAGACUUAUAGCUUAAGUAUCUUCUUGGUCAGUGAAUAUAAGAAUCAAUAUACAGCUUAUCUUGUUUUUGUUUUAAUUUACAAGUAAAAAUGUACAUAAUAGUUUAGAUUGAGAUUUCGGAAGACAUUCUAGUAAAAAUUUAUAAGAAGCAAAGCAAUAUUCAACAUUGCAGAUAGUGAUAUUUAAUUCAAAUUUAUCUUUUUAGUUUCUUCAUUAUCAAUAAACAAAUUUCCUUAUAUUUGAUCAAUAAAAAUUUCCCCUGUCCUGGUAUGUGCAAGGUAACUAAUUCUACUAGGCAUUAUAAGCAUUCUAUGUUGGAAAGUCUAAGUUUAUUUGUUGAAAUAAAUUCUGAAAUGUAUUCCUUAUUUGUCAACUUAAAAAUGACAUCAGUUUGAGUGUUGCUUUCUUAUGUGACUGUGGCUCAUUAGGUACAUGAUGAGAAUAUGAGAACCAAGUUUAUCAUUUUGGUGCAGUAAUUAUGUGAGUAAAUUAUUAAGUAUGAACAAAACCCACAGCAAAUGAAAGUCCUAAAGGUAUAUUUCAAACCUAACCAAGUUCAUUGACAUGGAAAACACUCUCUCUGAUCUCAGCUGGAUCACCAGCCUCAGAGUCAGGGGGCCUAUCGGUGAACUUUCCUGGUCUAAGUCUUGAAUCUCUAUCAAGAAGGUGGAGAUCUGCUCUGGGUGUCCCACCCAUAGACUCUCCAGUGAAGGGAGGAUUUCUCUUCACUGCCCAGGAACAUUUCUCUGUCAGUAAAGCAAAGAACUCCUGCUCUCUUUUCCAGCUUCUCAGGGACGUCCUGGGGAUAAUCUGCUUCUCUGUGCUUCGCUUUUCUUGCUCUUUUCCACAGGAGGUAUAGCCAAUUAGACAUCAUGGGCGCAUGACAUCCAUAGGGUCACAUUUAUCAGAAGCAGGGUGACUGCAUUCAAAAGGUAGGGUCACUAUCUUUGAUCAGUAAUUUGCCCUAACUGGUUUAGCUCAGUGGAUAGAGGGUUGGCCUGUGGACCGAAAGGGUCCUAGGUUCAAUUCCAGUCAAGGGCACAUGCUUGGGUUGUGGGCUGGAUCCCCAGUAGGGGGCGUGCAGGAGGCAGCCGAUCAAUGAUUCUCUCAUCAUUGAUAUUUCUAUCUAUCUCUCCCUCUCUCUUCCUUUCUGAAAUCAAUAAAAAUAUUUUUAAAUAAUAAUAAUUUUGCUCUCCUGUUAUCAACCAGGUUUGAGAGCCAGGCCUGCGAUUCUCCGUGCAGGUUGGUAACUGACCUUGGGUCCAUGGAAAGGGGAGUCUAAACUCUAGGAUGGAGAGCAAGUAGUAGAAAGCCACACUGUUGCCUUUGUUUUUAUCAAAGUCCUUCAAUAUACAUAGUUGAACCAAACGCCUACAGUUUGGGAGUUACUGGGGUUCCAUUAAUUAAGCUGACACUUUGAUCUCUAUUUUACUCCUGUGCCUGCUCUCUCCUGAAUCAGUCUAGCAGGUGGUUAAGAACACAAGCUCUGGCAUCGGCCUUCCCAGAUCAUCACUUACUAUCUCUGAUUGAGACACGUUCCUUACUAUCUGUAUGUUGGGUCCCGUAUCUACAAGACGGCACCAUCAUGCUCAACUACUAGUAUUUUUACUAAAUAAAACUUGGAGGAGAGGGUGGA